UGAGCAGAGAUGUGUGUAUCGUCGUUGCGCGGAAUUCGUUCGAUAAUGCGCUUCGAUCGAAAGAGUUCUCUGCGACAUCGGAUUUGGGGAAGAUGGGCAGUUGUCUUUCAGUUUUUGUUCGUUGAAAUUUGUUCAACAAUCAUCUUCCCCACAUUU
rnacentral:snoRNA from 1 species